CUUGUUGGGGUUGUAGGACUCCAAUAUGGUAGUCUGUUAGUAUAGUUGAAGGAUUUGGAAAAUUCCGCUAAAGAGGGUGAAAGCCCCGUAGACGAAAUGCUAAUAACACCUAGGAGGAUCCUGAGUACGGCGGAACACGAGAAAUUCCGUCGGAAUCCGCGGGGACCAUCCCGCAAGGCUAAAUACUCCCUAGUGACCGAUAGUGAACCAGUACCGUGAGGGAAAGGUGAAAAGCACCCCGGAAGGGGAGUGAAAUAGAUCCUGAAACCGUGUGCCUACAACAAGUCAAAGCUCGUUAAUGAGUGAUGGCGUGCCUUUUGUAGAAUGAACCGGCGAGUUACGAUUGCAUGCGAGGUUAAGUCGAAGAGACGGAGCCGCAGCGAAAGCGAGUCUGAAUAGGGCGAAUGAGUAUGUAGUCGUAGACCCGAAACCAUGUGAUCUACCCAUGUCCAGGUUGAAGGUGCGGUAAAACGCACUGGAGGACCGAACCCACGUACGUUGAAAAGUGCGGGGAUGAGGUGUGGGUAGCGGAGAAAUUCCAAACGAACUUGGAGAUAGCUGGUUCUCUCCGAAAUAGCUUUAGGGCUAGCCUCGGAAUUGAGAAUGAUGGAGGUAGAGCACUGUUUGGACUAGGGGCCCAUCUCGGGUUACCGAAUUCAGAUAAACUCCGAAUGCCAUUCAUUUAUAUCCGGGAGUCAGACUGCGAGUGAUAAGAUCCGUAGUCGAAAGGGAAACAGCCCAGACCACCAGCUAAGGUCCCAAAAUAUAUGUUAAGUGGAAAAGGAUGUGGGGUUGCACAGACAACUAGGAUGUUGGCUUAGAAGCAGCCACCAUUUAAAGAGUGCGUAAUAGCUCACUAGUCGAGUGACCCUGCGCCGAAAAUGUACCGGGGCUAAACAUAUUACCGAAGCUGUGGACUACACCAUUAGGUGUAGUGGUAGGAGAGCGUUCUAAGGGCGUUGAAGGUCGAUCGUGAGGACGGCUGGAGCGCUUAGAAGUGAGAAUGCCGGUAUGAGUAGCGAAAGACAGGUGAGAAUCCUGUCCACCGUAUGACUAAGGUUUCCUGGGGAAGGCUCGUCCGCCCAGGGUUAGUCGGGACCUAAGCCGAGGCCGAUAGGCGUAGGCGAUGGACAACAGGUUGAUAUUCCUGUACCAGUUGUUUUUGUUUGAACAAUGGAGGGACGCAGUAGGCUAAGGAAUGCAUGCGAUUGGAAGUGCAUGUCCAAGCAAUGAGUCUUGAGUAGAGUUAAAUGCUUUACUCUUUAAGGACAAGUUGUGACGGGGAGCGAAAUAAUAGUAGCGAAGUUCCUGAUGUCACACUGCCAAGAAAAGCUUCUAGUGAGAAAACAACUGCCCGUACCGUAAACCGACACAGGUAGUCGAGGAGAGUAUCCUAAGGUGAGCGAGCGAACUCUCGUUAAGGAACUCGGCAAAAUGACCCCGUAACUUCGGGAGAAGGGGUGCUGACUUCGGUCAGCCGCAGUGAAUAGGCCCAAGCGACUGUUUAUCAAAAACACAGGUCUCUGCAAAAUCGUAAGAUGAAGUAUAGGGGCUGACGCCUGCCCGGUGCUGGAAGGUUAAGAGGAUGGGUUAGCUUCGGCGAAGCUCAGAAUUGAAGCCCCAGUAAACGGCGGCCGUAACUAUAACGGUCCUAAGGUAGCGAAAUUCCUUGUCGGGUAAGUUCCGACCCGCACGAAAGGCGUAACGAUUUGGGCACUGUCUCAACGAGAGACUCGGUGAAAUUUUAGUACCUGUGAAGAUGCAGGUUACCCGCGACAGGACGGAAAGACCCCAUGGAGCUUUACUGUAGUUUGAUAUUGAGUGUUUGUACCACAUGUACAGGAUAGGUAGGAGCCGAUGAGACCGGAACGCUAGUUUCGGAGGAGGCGCUGGUGGGAUACUACCCUUGUGUUAUGAACCCUCUAACCCGCACCACUAAUCGUGGUGGGAGACAGUGUCAGAUGGGCAGUUUGACUGGGGCGGUCGCCUCCUAAAAGGUAACGGAGGCGCCCAAAGGUUCCC
rnacentral:rRNA from 1 species